UACGUAGGGUGCAAGCGUUGUCCGGAUUUAUUGGGUUUAAAGGGUGCGUAGGCGGCCUUGUAAGUCAGUGGUGAAAUACUCUAGCUUAACUAGAGGGGUGCCAUUGAUACUGCAGGGCUUGAGUUAAGUUGAAGUUGGCGGAAUUGACGGUGUAGCGGUGAAAUGCUUAGAUAUCGUCAAGAACACCGAUAGUGAAGACAGCUAACUAAACUUUUACUGACGCUCAGGCGCGACAGCGUGGGGAGCAAACAGG
rnacentral:rRNA from 1 species